AGAGUUUGUACAUUGCUCAAUAGCGUACGCUGGCGGCGUGCCUAACACAUGCAAGUCGAACGUGAAAGGGGGCAACCCCGAGUAAAGUGGCGUACGGGUGAGUAACGCGUAGAUAAUCUACCCAAUAGUCUGGAAUACCUGCCGAAAGGCGGGCUAAUACUAGAUAGAGCGAUGGAUCUCGUGAUGAGUUUUUCGGGAAGGGAGCCUGCGAGGGCCUUCGCUUUUGGAUGAGUCUGCGUCCCAUUAGUUAGUUGGCACGGUAAUGGUCCUACCAAUACGAUGAUGGGUAACUGGUCUGAGAGGAUGAUCAGCCACACUGGAACUGAAACACUGUCCAUACUCCUUCGGAAUGCCAACAUGGGGAAUCUUGCGUAUUGACUAAAGUCU
rnacentral:rRNA from 1 species